GACGAACGCUGGCGGCGUGCCUAAUACAUGCAAGUCGAGCGAAGUUUUUCUGGUGCUUGCACUAGAAAAACUUAGCGGCGAACGGGUGAGUAACACGUAAAGAACCUGCCUCAUAGACUGGGACAACUAUUGGAAACGAUAGCUAAUACCGGAUAACAGUAUUUCUCGCAUGAGAGAUAUUUAAAAGUUGGUUAUGCUAACACUAUGAGAUGGCUUUGCGGUGCAUUAGCUAGUUGGUGGGGUAAAGGCCACCAAGGCGACGAUGCAUAGCCGACCUGAGAGGGUGAUCGGCCACACUGGGACUGAGACACGGCCCAGACUCCUACGGGAGGCAGCAGUAGGGAAUCUUCCGCAAUGGGCGAAAGCCUGACGGAGCAACGCCGCGUGAGUGAAGAAGGAGUUCGGUUCGUAAAGCUCUGUUGUUAGGGAAGAAUGGAUAUGUAGUAACUAUACAUGUAAGAGACGGUACCUAGCCAGAAAGCCACGGCUAACUACGUG
rnacentral:rRNA from 1 species